rnacentral:rRNA from 1 species
UAGCGAAGGGGGCUAGCGUUGCUCGGAAUCACUGGGCGUAAAGCGCACGUAGGCGGCUUCUUAAGUCAGGGGUGAAAUCCUGGAGCUCAACUCCAGAACUGCCUUUGAUACUGAGGAGCUUGAGUCCGGGAGAGGUGAGUGGAACUGCGAGUGUAGAGGUGAAAUUCGUAGAUAUUCGCAAGAACACCAGUGGCGAAGGCGGCUCACUGGCCCGGUACUGACGCUGAGGAGCGAAAGCGUGGGGAGCAAACAGG